CACGUAGGGUGCGAGCGUUGUCCGGAAUUAUUGGGCGUAAAGAGCUCGUAGGCGGUGUGUCGCGUCGGCCGUGAAAACCUGCAGCUUAACUGUGGGCUUGCGGUCGAUACGGGCAUCACUGGAGUUCGGCAGGGGGAGACUGGAAUUCCUGGUGUAGCGGUGAAAUGCGCAGAUAUCAGGAGGAACACCAAUGGCGAAGGCAGCUCGCUGGGACGGUACUGACGCUGAGGCGCGAAAGCGUGGGGAGCAAACAGG
rnacentral:rRNA from 1 species